rnacentral:rRNA from 1 species
UACGUAGGUCCCGAGCGUUGUCCGGAUUUAUUGGGCGUAAAGCGAGCGCAGGUGGUUUAUUAAGUCUGGUGUAAAAGGCAGUGGCUCAACCAUUGUAUGCAUUGGAAACUGGUAGACUUGAGUGCAGGAGAGGAGAGUGGAAUUCCAUGUGUAGGGGUGAAAUGCGUAGAUAUAUGGAGGAACACCGGUGGCGAAAGCGGCUCUCUGGCCUGUAACUGACACUGAGGCUCGAAAGCGUGGGGAGCAAACAGG